rnacentral:rRNA from 1 species
UACGGAGGGUGCGAGCGUUGUCCGGAAUCACUGGGCGUAAAGGGCGCGUAGGCGGCGCGGUAAGCGUGCGGUGAAAGCCCGGGGCUCAACCCCGGGUCGGCCGUGCGGACUGCCGGGCUCGAGCACUGUAGAGGCGGGUGGAAUUCCGGGUGUAGCGGUGGAAUGCGUAGAGAUCCGGAGGAACACCGGUGGCGAAGGCGGCCCGCUGGGCAGUGGCUGACGCUGAGGCGCGACAGCGUGGGGAGCAAACAGG